rnacentral:pre_miRNA from 1 species
ACUUUAACAUGGAGGCCCUCGCUGUGCCUUUAAAAUAAGUGCUUCCAGGUUUGAGUGU